rnacentral:ncRNA from 3 species
AAAUUCAACCAAGCGCGGGUAAACGG